UUUUGGUUUUUUCCGUAUAACCGCAAUUUACUCAAUUUUCUUUGUAAUAUAUAUAUAUAUACUAGAAGUAACAAGGAUAUCGUUUCUGGGGGGCCUUUAUAGUUUGUUGUUCAUGCAGUGUAAGCUAAUGCUCCGUGUUGAAAACCGUACUUUGGCCUAUGAUGGUUUACUUUUAGGAAUAGUGACUUAGAUAAAGAGUUUUCUUAUUGGCAUUCAUACCACAUUUUCUUAUAUUAUUCUGCUCAUUAUUGAAGUCAAUGAUAUAUGAUCUAAUUAUUCAAUGAUUUUACUUUGCAAUGACUACAAUAGUGAUACAUUUUAAUAUAUAUAUACAGCCUCCUCUAUUAAUAACAACUGUUUCCUUUGAAU
rnacentral:lncRNA from 1 species